UUUCCUCUUAUUCUUCCCGCAUGCCCUAGCCUUUCCCUUCGCUCGGCGAUCUCUCUUCCUCCUCGCGCCGAGCCGCCAAACCACCUGUGCCCUAACCGCCAGGAACCCCAGCGCCUGCAGCCGGUUAAUUGCCCUGCCCUAGCUUGGAUUGCGAGCCCUCUCCGCCGCUGAGAUCAGGAAACGCGCCGGCAACGCUCAAGCCAUUGCCGGUUUUCCCCCUUCUUGGCACCCUAUCUCCGAUCACCUCACAUCAUAGCCGAACUCUUUUUUUUUCCCCUCAUCUCUCGCGACGCCGGCCUUCUCCACGCCGAGUUCUGCACAAAGCCACCGCCGACCGAGCCACAUCCUGGUCCUCUCCUCCGCGCGGGCUGCGCCCUUUGCUCCUCUGCCCUAGAACUCGAGCCGCUGCUGUCGACCGAGAUUUUUUCUCCCCUAACGCCAGUUGCCACCACCUCUGUGCCUGCCGACGCCGCUGCCCUAGUGCUCUCUGCCUUGAGCAAAUCCACGCAACCCAUUUGUGCAGGUAGCCACAGUUCUGGUGUGGAUCAACAACCACGGCUACGAGUUGGUUUCCUUGAUCCAGCAAUUUAUUUUGUUGUUAGCGGCGACAAGUUGAUCUUCAGUUGUGCGGUUGACAGAAUCUUUAGAGUGGUGCAGAUUUAAAUUGGGACUUUGAUUCGAGACGAGUAUCUCGAUUGUUGGAUUGGACCAUUUCGAUUGGAGGCGG